GACGAACGCUGGCGGCGUGCUUAACACAUGCAAGUCGAACGGAAAGGCCCUGCUUUUGUGGGGUGCUCGAGUGGCGAACGGGUGAGUAACACGUGAGUAACCUGCCCUUGACUUUGGGAUAACUUCAGGAAACUGGGGCUAAUACCGGAUAUGAGCUCCUGCUGCAUGGUGGGGGUUGGAAAGUUUCGGCGGUUGGGGAUGGACUCGCGGCUUAUCAGCUUGUUGGUGGGGUAGUGGCUUACCAAGGCUUUGACGGGUAGCCGGCCUGAGAGGGUGACCGGCCACAUUGGGACUGCGAUACGGCCCAGACUCCUACGGGAGGCAGCAGUGGGGAAUAUUGCACAAUGGGCGGAAGCCUGAUGCAGCAACGCCGCGUGCGGGAUGACGGCCUUCGGGUUGUAAACCGCUUUCGCCUGUGACGAAGCGUGAGUGACGGUAAUGGGUAAAGAAGCACCGGCUAACUACGUG
rnacentral:rRNA from 1 species